rnacentral:rRNA from 1 species
GAUGAACGCUGGCGGCGUGCCUAAUACAUGCAAGUCGAGCGAACAGACGAGGAGCUUGCUCCUCUGACGUUAGCGGCGGACGGGUGAGUAACACGUGGAUAACCUACCUAUAAGACUGGGAUAACUUCGGGAAACCGGAGCUAAUACCGGAUAAUAUAUUGAACCGCAUGGUUCAAUAGUGAAAGACGGUUUGCUGUCACUUAUAGAUGGAUCCGCGCCGCAUUAGCUAGUUGGUAAGGUAACGGCUUACCAAGGCAACGAUGCGUAGCCGACCUGAGAGGGUGAUCGGCCACACUGGAACUGAGACACGGUCCAGACUCCUACGGGAGGCAGCAGUAGGGAAUCUUCCGCAAUGGGCGAAAGCCUGACGGAGCAACGCCGCGUGAGUGAUGAAGGUCUUCGGAUCGUAAAACUCUGUUAUUAGGGAAGAACAAAUGUGUAAGUAACUAUGCACGUCUUGACGGUACCUAAUCAGAAAGCCACGGCUAACUACGU